rnacentral:rRNA from 1 species
AUUGAACGCUGGCGGCAUGCCUUACACAUGCAAGUCGAACGGUAACAGGUCUUCGGAUGCUGACGAGUGGCGAACGGGUGCGUAAUACAUCGGAACGUGUCCGAUCGUGGGGGAUAACGAGGCGAAAGCUUUGCUAAUACCGCAUACGAUCUACGGAUGAAAGCGGGGGAUCUUCGGACCUCGCGCGGACGGAGCGGCCGAUGGCAGAUUAGGUAGUUGGUGGGAUAAAAGCUUACCAAGCCGACGAUCUGUAGCUGGUCUGAGAGGAUGAUCAGCCACACUGGGACUGAGACACGGCCCAGACUCCUACGGGAGGCAGCAGUGGGGAAUUUUGGACAAUGGGCGAAAGCCUGAUCCAGCCAUGCCGCGUGCAGGAUGAAGGCCUUCGGGUUGUAAACUGCUUUUGUACGGAACGAAAAGCCUCUUUCUAAUAAAGAGGGGUCAUGACGGUACCGUAAGAAUAAGCACCGGCUAACUACGUG